GUCAGGAUGGUCCGAGGCGGGUCUAAGGCGCUGCGUUCAGGUCGCAGUCUCCCCUGGAGGCGUGGGUUUCUAAUCCCACUUCUGACA
rnacentral:tRNA from 1 species